rnacentral:rRNA from 1 species
AAAUCGUUUGGUCAAGCUAAUAAGAGCGCAGGGUGGAUGCCUUGGCACUAAGAGCCGAUGAAAGACGUGAUAAGCUGCGAAAAGCUUCGGGGAGGAGCAAAUAUCCUUUGAUCCGGAGAUAUCUGAAUGGGGAAACCCGGCUGAGUAACCCUCAGUCACCAUAACGUAAAUACAUAGCGUUAUGGAGGGAACCCGGUGAACUGAAACAUCUAAGUAGCCGGAGGAAGAGAAAGAAAC